CAGAGAAACAAUUAACAAAGGGGCCGAGGACCCACACAAUUAAACCCAAAAGAGGGAGAAGAGGCUUUGUUCGGGUCGCCAUGGCAACAGCCAGCCCGGAGUAGCAGCCACGGACUUUCACUUUCCGUUCCUUCCUGGCGGUGGCCCUGGGGGCCCUCUCCACUGGGUGCCGGUGCCCGCUGCGGUCCCCUGGCUCUGGUGUCACCCCCAGAGCACCGCCAGGACCCACAGAACAUCCCCGGGACCCACGGAGCAGCCCCAGAAUCCAUGGAGCAUCACCAAGAUCCACGGACCAGCCCUCGGACCCACGGAGCAUCACCAGGAUCCCAGGACCCACAUGGCAUCCUCAGGACCACGGGCACACGAUGGAUGUGAUGGUGCAGAGAUGGUCCCCACUCCUCCAGAGGGGCUCACGUGGUGCCCCCAUCUCCCCCCACCUGGCCACAUCCAGGCUCACAACCAGAGGUAACCGGGUUCCCCUCGCAGCAUUCUGCUUUCCUCAGCAGAAGGAAGCCGGGACAAUGGGUGGAGGGACCAGGAAAGCUGGUGGGGGCAAAGAUCCCACUGCCGCCAGCACAGGGGGCACGGAGGGGAAAGGCACGGCCAGCACUUGCCUUCCUUUUCCCAAGCCCCCCCACCCCAUCAUGCAACCUAUGGGGCCUCUGGCCACGGCAGUGAUGCCUCCUGCUUUGUGCUGGCUGCAAGUCCCGGCCUCCAGAUCGCAGGAUGCUGUUGCCUGAGUCAUGGAAAUGGUUCAGACAAUGGCUUGGCCCCUUUAUAACUGGCCAAAGGGGGCAAAGCAGGGAGAACAAAUCCGACCUUGCUUCCUGCACGGAAGUGGGCCCAUUGUUUGGGAAUGGGCAUGUGCUUUGCUCCUCACCAGCCUGGGAAAGCUGCAGAGCAACUGCGAGCAGGGAGUGAGCUACACAGCUCCCCAUCCUUGCAGGAAUCUAGGCCGGGCUGCUGCCACUGCCCUCGGCAGGACCCGGACCACUGCCCCAAAAGUCCCUUGCACAGCCAAGGGAUGCACAUGUACCAUGGGCUUGCAUUGUGCGGCCGUGCGCACACACACAGGCAGGCAGACACACAUCUGCAGCCCAUUAAAGCCAAGCUGAUACGACAAUGCUAAUAGAGAAGCUCAAACUCUCUCGAAACUCAGCGGCAGCUCCGGGGCUGUCCUCGCUUCACCCCUUUGCACUCACAUCUUGCGGGCCGCAGGGACGUGGCACACCAGGGGUGCCCUGCAGCCAGAGUGGGCAGUGCUGUGACACAGCCAGCCCUGCCCACAGCACCCAGCUGCCACCACCAUGGGAGCACUCUGCUCUCCUCAGUGCUGACAGCGCUGGUACCAGUGGGGGGACAGCAGAUUUCUGCUCCCAUGCUCUCUGGACCAGGGGCCACCAUUCAGCCAUGGGCAGCUCGGUGUCAAGAUCCCAUCCCACCUUCAUGUUCCCCAUGUGUUGGCUUCCCCUGCAUCUGCCUCCAGGCACAGCGCUGCUUUCCAGCCCCAGACCGGGUUCGGGGCUGAGAUUGGGAACACAGAAUCACAGAAUCAUCGAAUAUCCCGACUUGGAAGGGACCCAUCAGGAUCAUCGAGUCCAAUGUGGGCACUGGGGGGUGACAGCUGUGACAAAGGGGCCCAAACCCCUCCUCCUCCUCCUCCUCCCUCUGCUCCUCACAGCAGGGCUCUGAGCAGAGCUGCAGGAAUCAACCUGCUGACUGUCCCCACCCAAACCCCACCAUUCUCCCGAGGCGCUGGGAGCUCCAUGCUGCCUUCCUCCCCGGCACUGACCCUGCUCUGCUCCUGCAGGGAGCCCGCCCGCAGCCUCGCAGCCUCUAAUCUGGCCGUAAUAAAACCAAGAUGCUCCGGGAUCGCUCUGCGGGGAGAACAGCUCCGCCAGCGCUCGACCGAAGGGAAAACACGAAAUAAAACCAAAGUAAAAUCGAGGAAAUUGUGGUCCUGCAGGAAAGCAGAGCUGGCAGGGGCAAAGGGCUGAAGGCGCAGGUGAACCUCAGCCGGUGCACGAGCAGAAAGAGCUGGGCAGAAAGAAGGGCAAGGCUCCCUCCUGGCAGGCUAAAAUCCCAGCUCUCACUGUGCCCUGGACCCCGACCACGGGUGACUUUUGCUGGCGUUUGCCCAUGCAGGUGCAGAGAGGGGCAGUCCCCACCUGGGCACGGGGUCGGAGCACAGACACCGUCCCAGGGUUCAGGUGUCAGAAAGCCCCCAGCACUCUCCAGCUGCCCGAAAUCCUGUCACAUUGGCACCGCCAAAAGACACGGGGAGCCCCGCUGCUUCCAAAUGCAUUGCAGCUACGAGCAGCCAAAGCACCACAGGCAGGAGGACAGAGCUGCAGCUGUGAGCAUCCCGGCUCUGGGGGGGCUCCUGCCCAUCACCACCCCCCUGUCCAUCACUACCAGCUCUGGGUGCUGUGACUGUCACCAUCUGACCAACCCCGGGUACCCACCACACCCCCCUGAGCGCCAACAGAACUCCAGCUCCAAACUGGGAUUGGACGGGGAGAGCAAACCACGGCGGGGACACAUCUCUGCCACUCUGUUCCCAACCUGAACGCCUCUGUUUGGGUUUCAUCCAGGUGCCAAGGAUUGUCCCCACCCGGAGCACAGCCGCCCCAUGGCUACAGCGAGCCACACACGGCAGGCUGCCGAUCUCCAGGGGGAAGGCCGUGGGGUGGGGUGGGGAGCACGCAGCCAUCCUGGCAGCCUGACACUGGGCACAGGGUGAUGCUGAGCAGGACGCACUGCAGAACUGCAGGGGGUGGGAGGGGGUGCCAGGACCACCCAGCGGGCGGGCAGGGGCCGGGGGCAGCGCGGUGGCACAGCCACAUCCCCAGGCUCCCUGCUGCCACCCGGGAUGCCGUGCUGGGGGCCGAGCCCGUCGGCUCUGGUUCAAAGGCAGCCACGGGCUCCGGGGCCUUGCGCUCCCAGUCGGGCUCCAGUGGGAGCUCGGCACCGCCUGUGCCACCCACCGCCCACCGGCCGGACCCUCCAGCGCAGCGACAGAGGGGCUUUUCUUGUCCCCCCCCUUUGUUUUCUAUUUAGUGCUUUUGUUCUCCUCUCUUUGGUCCUUUGUUCCAGCUUGUCCUUUGUUCCAACGCCUUUGGUUUCUCGUCCCUUUGAUGCUUUGUCACUCCCUUCAUCUUGGAGCUUUUCUUUUCCCCGGGUUUUGAAGCUGGCGGUUGUUUUCUGUCCCCGCUCUGUGCUUGGCAUUUUUAUCCUUUCUCCUGCCUCGUCCACUCUUGGGUCACAUGGGCCCGGCCCGGAUUGUCUUCAAAUCCCCAUUUGUCUUGUGUCGGUGCCCGGGUUUCCCUGCCUUUAUGUCCUUUCUUAAGAGACUCUCAGCGAUUUUCUCUCCUCGCUGAGGGAAGCGGGGGGGGGGGAUCGGGCUUAAUUAAUGACUCCGCGUAAUCUUUAGACGUGCGGCACCGCAGGAUGCGCGGAGCGUCGGUCCUUACUAAUCGUUAUUAUUGUGAUCGGGACGCGAAGGGUUAGCGAGGGUUUCGACACCAGCUAAUUGCAGCACGGAGCUCCGGCUUGGCGGAACGGCGUCGGGAAGAGGCAGGGUUGGGAGAGGAGCGGCACGGCCACGCCGCUGCUCGGGAGGAGGCUGAGCAAAGACGCGGCCCAACGGGGCUUUAAUUUUGUGAGAGCGCUGCAGCACAGCGCCUCGAGACGCCGCUCGCAGCACAAACACGACCACAAAAUCAGAUACGGGGCGGUCAGGAUCAGGGAACCGUUUUUUCCUCCGAGCGCGACGCCGUUGCUUUGCUCUGAUUUAGCGCCCCAAAUAUUUCAUCCCCCCCACCCCCGCCCCGGGGACCUCGGUGAGGCCGAUCCCACCGGGAUCUGUAGGGCACAACCCCGCUCGCUGCAGCAUCGCAAGGGCUCGCUGUGCAACCAGGGGUCCCCCCCCCCCCCCAUGCCAUCCCCAGAACACACGUUUAAACAUCUGUAUCUGACUGCAGCAACAGCUGUUAACCGGAGGAAGCAGCCAAACUUAGCAACAGGAUGUACCCUCAGAUAACAUGAUCGAUAUCAGGAGUGCAGCUUUACAAGCGAGCGCCGGAGCCCAGCUGCUAAGCUGGGUGUCAGGAGAUCGGCACCGAUACCGGCUCGCUCUGACGCCGUCUUCGCGACGCCCCGAGUUCUCCUCCCUCGAGUCACUUGGGGGACCUCAGUGACGUCCCCAUGGUUUGCGGUGGCGUGGCAGGACCUCUCGGGGGGGGGGGGGACAUCACCCCAUGGCCGAGCAGAUGGGGUGCUGCGGGCUGGGUGCUUUGACAUCGGGCCCUGCAGUGACAGCCCUACGCUGACGAUGGAUGCCGCUGUGACCCCGGUCCGGCAGCAGCAGGGCCAGGGGCGCAACCUGGGAGGCUUUGCAGAAGGGUUUUGCAGGAGAGAGCGGGACCAAAAACGCGCAGCAGCUCCACCAAAAGCCACAAACCCUCCUGACAAGGCUGGGAGAAGCCGUCUGAUGGGUGCCCUGAUGCCUGCAGAGCCGUGAUGCUGCAGGCUGACCCCCAAAGCGGUGCCAUCACCAUACCGGGCGCCUCUUCCAUGGCCACGGAGCUGGGGACGGGACACAUCCCAGCCUAGUAAGUCUCACGUCCCUCCCAGCAAACAUCAGAUGUCUCAACCUCCAGCGCUCUGUUACAACGGCAGCCAGGAAAAGCCAUCGUUCUGGUCUGCCCGGUUCUGCUUUCAGGCUGGUGAGCACACUCGGGGCUGAUAAACGCUGGACGUGAGCCAUCCAACAUCCAACAUCAUUGGGUGCUCACUCCGGGGGUGCCGAGCCACGCAGCCACGCUCAGCGCUCUCAGAUGUUCCAGCAGCACUGCAGCCCCGCUGCGAGGUCCGUGCCGCCCGCGGCUCUCAGAAGGGCCCAACCUGCUUUUACGACAGAGCUGGCACCGGGAA